UUGCUAUGCAAACUUUCCCACUUGCUGUCCAGUGAGGCAAAAGACAAAUACUACACUGAAUAUCACGUUAUUUGGCCUCAAAAGAGUUUUAUUCCAGGGUUUUGCAAAUGUCUGGUGAAUCGUCGCUAAAGAAGAGACCGGGCACAGCUCUCUCCAUCGUGACUGAGUUCAGUGGAUCUGGUUCAUUAAACCCCAAACCUGCUGCUGCUGCUGCUGCUGAAGAGCUGCUGCUCGAUCAGAGUCUUUCGGCGGAGAAACUGAAAAUCCUUUCUGGGUCAGACGAUUUACAAGAAGUGUGGUCGCUGGAGAUGUGUGUUGACACCCGAGAGGAGACUCUGGACAA